AUUUGAAAUCUGGCCUUCUGGUCCGAAUUGUAAUUUGUAGAGGAUGAUUUUGGUGCGGUACCUUCCGAGUUCCUUGGAACAGGACGCCUUAGAGGGUGAGAGCCCCGUACGGUUGGAUGCCUAGCCUUUGUAAAUCUCCUUCGACGAGUCGAGUAGUUUGGGAAUGCUGCUCUAAAUGGGAGGUAAAUUUCUUCUAAAGCUAAAUAUUGGCCAGAGACCGAUAGCGCACAAGUAGAGUGAUCGAAAGAUGAAAAGCACUUUGAAAAGAGGGUUAAAUAGCACGUGAAAUUGUUGAAAGGGAAGGAUUUAUGACCAGACUUUUUCUAGGCGGAUCAUCCGGUGUUCUCACCGGUGCACUUUGUCUAGUUUAGGCCAGCAUCGAUUUUCGGCAGCGGAUAAAAGCUUCAGGAAUGUGGCUCCUCCGGGAGUGUUAUAGCCUGUUGUAUAAUACGCCGCUGGGGAUCGAGGUACGCGCUUCUGCAAGGAUGCUGGCGUAAUGGUUAUCAAUCACCCGUCUUGAAACACGGACCAAGGAGUCGAACAUUUAUGCGAGUGUUUGGGUGUUAAACCCUCACGCGUAAUGAAAGUGAACGGAGGUGAGAGCCCUUACGGGUGCAUCAUCGACCGAUCCUGAUGUUUUCGGAUGGAUUUGAGUAAGAGCAUAACUGUUCGGACCCGAAAGAUGGUGAACUAUGCGUGGAUAGGGUGAAGCCAGAGGAAACUCUGGUGGAGGCUCGCAGCGGUUCUGACGUGCAAAUCGAUCGUCAAAUCUGCGCA
rnacentral:rRNA from 1 species